GACGAACGCUGGCGGCGUGCUUAACACAUGCAAGUCGAACGGAAAGGCCCUGCUUUUGUGGGGUGCUCGAGUGGCGAACGGGUGAGUAACACGUGAGUAACCUGCCCUUGACUUUGGGAUAACUUCAGGAAACUGGGGCUAAUACCGGCUAGGAGCUCCUGCUGCAUGGUGGGGGUUGGAAAGUUUCGGCGGUUGGGGAUGGACGCGCGGCUUAUCAGCUUGUUGGUGGGGUAGUGGCUUACCAAGGCUUUGACGGGUAGCCGGCCUGAGAGGGUGACCGGCCACAUUGGGACUGAGAGACGGCCCAGACUCCUACGGGAGGCAGCAGUGGGGAAUAUUGCACAAUGGGCGGAAGCCUGAUGCAGCAACGCCGCGUGCGGGAUGACGGCCUUCGGGUUGUAAACCGCUUUCGCCUGUGACGAAGCGUGAGUGACGGUAAUGGGUAAAGAAGCACCGGCUAACUACGUG
rnacentral:rRNA from 1 species